rnacentral:lncRNA from 1 species
GUUUUAUUCCCUUUGUUGAAAAAAUAUACAAAUCUAUUCGUAAACCAACAUCACAAACGAUUUAUUUGCGGAAAAUAGAUAAAGUUUUUAGUACAUUUAGCUUUAGCUUCAUUCAAAGACAUUUCAAGAACUCGCAAAUUUACGUUAAUCAGAAAAACAUAGUGUCUCGAUAAACAUUGAAUUUCUAGAGAUAUUAUUGUUGAUCAUUGUAAGGUUUAUGUUACAAGGUUACCCAUAAAGGAUGAGACAUUAAACACGUUUCAAGACGUUUCCAAGGUUGAACUUAGUCUUUAUAUGGCAUUUAUUGUGAUUGGGAUAAAGAAAGAAACAAUUAUGGAGUUACUGGGAAUCAUAUAUAUAUUAGAAAUUUCCAUACAAUCCUCCCUAAAGUCUCAUCCUUUGUGGGUGAGAUGGUAUUAUGAGAGAGCCUAAAUAAAUGCCGUUUGAUUGAAUUCGUCACUUAUGUUCCAUAAUUUAAGUGGCAUCCUGUUUAAACCUCACAUUCACAAGCAUCUGUAAUGGAAAAUUUAAAUUGCUGUGAUGAAUAUGAUAAAUCUUGUCGAUAUAUAAUAUUUAUAAUAUAAUCCCUCCUUGUACAUAUUUCUUUCAGGAAUAUUUUCCAUUUCAUGAAAACUAAGAAUACUAAAACAUGCACAAUUUUACAGUGGUAACCAUAAUACUUUAUGGUUGUCGUCCUUUAUCUUUCUUUUAAUCAUGAGAAAUAGAUAAGUUCCAAAUUACAAAAUUUUAAGCAACAUUUCCAAGUAUAGAGAAAAGAAGACUUCAAUAAAUCCACUGUUUUAAACCUCUCUUGUUCUGGGCCAUCUUAAAGAUAAUAAUUAAAUGAUAAAAUGAAAAGGCCUCGGUUUUUUUGUUAAAGAAUUUAUAUCUAAUCUCGAGUUAAAGAUGUAAUGUAAUAUUGUAACAGAUUUGUUUAUGUCACACUCGUCUAUUUUACUCAACGCUGGUAAUUAAUCUAUGUUUGUUAGUGGAAAUCUUUAUUUAAAGUCAAUAUAGAUAUUUACCACAUUUAAUCUCAUUUAUGAUAAUAAUCGGAGCUUAAAAUACAUGGUUGUAAACAAAGGGAAAGAAAAUGGAAGAAAAUGGAAGAAAUGCAAACACUAUAAGAAGGAAUUAAAGAGAAUGAAUAAAGAAAUGGACGAGGACUUGUAUUUAAAAUGAAGGAGUUCCUUAUCCGAAACCUGCAGUUGAUAGCGGGUAUUAUCUGCUCCUUCUCCUCCCUGAAGUGUAGGUUCAGGAACACCUCGGACUGGAGGGACUCGGUUAACUAUAGGAUCUAAGGGAGUCCAGUACAGACAAGGCAAAAGGAACUCAACGAAGGACUGGCUCCGAUCCUGAAAGAUAAAUGGCAAAGAUGACGUCCUAAACAUUCCGUAGAUAUUAGACCAUCACUGUCCAGUACAGACCUAUUAUCAGCAAGCAAGAAAGUUGUUGUUGUUGUUAUUGUUGUUGUUCUGGUUGUUAUUGAUAUUCGCAACAACAUUUGCGACAACAUUAAACACGGACAUCACUAGAACAAGAAUGUUGAUAACAGAGAACUCAUGAAAGAAAGCGUCUCGACUCUCGUGGAUAUCUACAGCUAGAAAGACUAGAGAGAAAAUUGCUUAACGGAAGUGUUUCUUGCCUCAAACUCAUAUUUCCUC